GACGUAGGAGGCGAGCGUUAUCCGGAUUCACUGGGCGUAAAGCGCAUGUAGGCGGUUGGACAAGUCGUGUGUUAAAGCCCCCUGGCUCAACUGGGGGGAGGUCAUGCGAGACUGUGCGACUUGAGGGCAAGAGAGGCACGUGGAACUCCCGGUGUAGCGGUGGAAUGCGUAGAGAUCGGGAAGAACACCAGUGGCGAAGGCGACGUGCUGGGUUGCACCUGACGCUGAGAUGCGAAAGUGUGGGGGAGCAAACGGG
rnacentral:rRNA from 1 species